AGAAAACCAGAGAUAUCCGAGGCUUAUUCCGUCUCUGCUGUCCCUUUCUUUGUCUUCUUCAAGCACUAAUCACAUGUAAAUGCAACUGAUUUGUGAUCUGAAGCCCUUGAAAAUGAGUUCGAACAACAUGCAUCUCUGAGAUU